GAUGAAUGCUGGCGGCGUGCCUAACACAUGCAAGUCGAGCGGCAGCGAGGGGUGCUUGCACCCUGUCGGCGAGCGGCGAACGGCUGAGUCACGCGUAGGAAUUUGCCCCAAAGUGAGGAAUAACUGCCCGAAAGGGUAGCUAAUGCCGCAUAUGGUCUUCGGAUUAAAGGAUUUAUCCGCUUUGGGAGAAGCCUGGGUUGGAUUAGGUUGUUGGUAGGGUAAUGGCCUACCAAGCCGACGAUCCAUAGCUGGUCUGAGAGGAUGAUCAGCCAGACUGGAACUGAGACACGGUCCAGACUCCUACGGGAGGCAGCAGUGAGGAAUCUUCCACAAUGGGCGAAAGCCUGAUGGAGCAACGCCGCGUGAAGGAUGAAGGCCUUCGGGUUGUAAACUUCUUUUAUGAGUGAAGAAUAUGACGGUAACUCAUGAAUAAGCACCGGCUAACUACGUG
rnacentral:rRNA from 1 species